rnacentral:misc_RNA from 1 species
AAGGAUAAGGAAGAAGCCUGAAAAGGUUUCUGACUAGGUUGGGCAAGCAUUUAUACGUAAGAGCGAGCAUUCUAUUUCAUUUGCAUUGUUAAGGUAGCUGAAGAGGACGAGACAUAUAGUUUAUGAUCAAGUAUGUUAUGUAAAGAAAAUCAUGGUAACAAGUAUAUUUCACGCAUAAUAAUAGACGUUUAAGAGUAUUUGUCUUUAGGUGAAGUACUUGCAUGGAUCUAUGAGAAAU